rnacentral:misc_RNA from 1 species
UGCCACUUCCGGUCCUGCUCUUCAUAGAGAGACAUAUUAUAUAGAAAUUAAAGCAUGUAUGAUGAUUAUAUUAUUACAGGAAAUGGAACCUGAGAGAAUUCAUCAUCUCAUUUCAAAAUUAAUAACAGCCAUGUGCUAACUGCUAAUCAUCAACCUUAAAAUCAGAGCAAACCUUGUAUAUGUCAAAACAUUCCUCAUCCUA